GAUGAACGCUGGCGGCGUGCCUAAUACAUGCAAGUCGAGCGAACAGACGAGGAGCUUGCUCCUCUGACGUUAGCGGCGGACGGGUGAGUAACACGUGGAUAACCUACCUAUAAGACUGGGAUAACUUCGGGAAACCGGAGCUAAGACCGGAUAAUAUAUUGAACCGCAUGGUUCAAUAGUGAAAGACGGUUUUGCUGUCACUUAUAGAUGGAUCCGCGCCGCAUUAGCUAGUUGGUAAGGUAACGGCUUACCAAGGCAACGAUGCGUAGCCGACCUGAGAGGGUGAUCGGCCACACUGGAACUGAGACACGGUCCAGACUCCUACGGGAGGCAGCAGUAGGGAAUCUUCCGCAAAGGGCGAAAGCUUGACGGAGCAACGCCGCGUGAGUGAUGAAGGUCUUCGGAUCGUAAAACUCUGUUAUUAGGGAAGAACAAAUGUGUAAGUAACUAUGCACGUCUUGACGGUACCUAAUCAGAAAGCCACGGCUAACUACGUG
rnacentral:rRNA from 1 species